rnacentral:lncRNA from 1 species
UCAGAUUACGCAGGAAAACAAUGCUUCUUGUGGGGAAUUAGCUGAGUGUCAACUGGAGAAGGCCCUCAUUGCAGUUAUGAAUUUCCUGCAACUCAGGACAACUGAAGCACUAGUUUUCAAGGACUACCAGUAUGGCUGAUUGGCAAGAGGGGGUGUAUCAAAAGAUAGAAAUAAUGAAGGAGAUGUACAUUCCUGAUUUAAUGAGAUGCACCAAAAAAUU